AAUAGAUUGUCAUAUCCAUAAAAGGAAGGACCAUUUAACACCAAAUUUGAAUAAAUGGGAGUUAAAUGCAUUAUCAUAGACAAAACUCCAAAACCAAUUUAAAGAAAAAGGUACUAUUCUAUUUACAGAAGUCACAACAAAGCAGUGAUAUUCUUGCUCUUAUAAAUUAACAUUUUCAUAAGAAGAGAAAGCAGUAAACUAAAACACUAUUAUCAAAAGUUCAUACUGCAAAUAUACGCUUUAUGUAAGUUAGAGGCUGAGAAAUGUACAGAAGUUCAUGUUGGGAAGGUCAAAGAGCAGUAUGGGAAGCUUUCAUGAUAAAAUGGUCUGAAAUGGUGACACUGAAACAGAUUCCUAAAGGAAGAAAGAAGUCAGCCCAUAAGGAUGAUCCUUGAACUGUGAAAGGCCUUCUAUCCUGUGAACUAAGCUUAGUGCAUACAGAAAUUUCUAAGGAACACAUAUUAGUCCCAUGUGUAUAAAAUUUGUAACAGCUAUACAUGAAAAUAAUGGCUAUUUUGGGAGACCUUCAGACUCCUCACUGGAAGAAGUUUACAUACAAUGGUCUGCCGAUUUCUUACAAGUUCCAUAUGUUAUCGUUACACCAACCUGACUUCCCUGGGCAGACGACCGCACCAAUGUGUCCUGGAGCCCUGCCUCUGUAGAGCCCUACUUCACUAAGGAAAGAUAGAAACAGGCUGGGAGCAUGGAUCAACCUGUCAACACCCAUGUUCAGUGGAGAAGCAAUUACAGAAGCCAGACUUUCCACUUUCUGCACCUUGUAAUGAACCUGGGAUAAAGAAUAGGAAAACUUUCAAGGGAGUGGAUGGGACAUGGAGUUCUGGUGGAGGGAAUUGUGUGGAAUUGUACCCCUCUCAUCCUAUGGUCUUGUCAAUACUUCCAUUUUAUAAAAACAUUAAAAAUAAA